GGGGCCAAAGGGACGUUAUCAAUCGACUGGAGCUGCAGCCACCGAGCUCCAGUAUAGUCUGAGAUGGGGAGAGCAAGGAAACUACCUAGCUCCUUAUUAUAAUCUAUAUGCCCAACUGCACAAAAAACCUAUUCCACACUGCACAUUUGUGACACUCCACAAAAUGGGUCUACCUGCGUGUAAGAAUAAACCCUGGAGAGAAGCUUCCUUUGUUGAUGGGAUGUUUCUGCUGAUGUUGCCGCUUCUGCUUCCUCACACUAUGUACAAAGUAAGUACUAUGGAGUGUUCCAGAAAUGAUCCCAUCCCUGUUCCACACGAAUGGUACCAGCCAGGAGGCCUCCUCAUUGGUGGGAUUGCUUCUCAGAUCAUUUACCAUUCUCACCAUGUUUUCUUCAAUGAACAUCCUUCAAGGAACCUGUUUGACAUUCCAGAGUUUCAGUCAAUGUAAUGGCUACAAUGGUUGCCGCAGCAUGGAAAUACAGACUAAAUGCCCAUGCGAAGGAGUAUAUGUGAUGAUGUACCAUCCUUCUCAUGUCACGGAUAAUUCAGAGAGGCUGCUGCCUCUUAUUGCUGCAUUGGGACAGCAGCUGCAUUUUGUAGCCAUACCGUGUCUGGAAAAGAAAGAGGAAAACUUGUUAAAAUGCAGCCCUCAGAUCCUAUCACAAACUUGAUGCGGCAGCAAACAGUGAAAGUCCCGCUUGUGGGUUUCCUGUAGACAUUUGUGGUUGAGCACUGUGAGAAGAAGAUGCUGGACUGUGGGGGGUUGCCUUGAUUGAGCAGAGCUUUUCUUAUGUUCUUAUGUUUUGUUCUCUGGCCUUUCAGAUGUUGCUGAACUACAACUCUCAUCAUCUAGGGCUGAUGGUAGUUCAGCAACAUCUGGAGGACCAAAAGUUCCUCAGUCCUGGUAUAUUUUAUUCACUGAAAAUGUUUUUAGUAAUUCUGACCUGAAAAUAAAAUGCAUUAUAUAUUCCCAUCAUCGCUGACUAUUUGUCAUGCUGUGUGGGGCUGAUGAGAGUUGUAGUCCAACAAUAGCCAGAGGUCACCAUGUUGACUACCACUGAAAUCAGUAAAGAUGAAUUUCUCCAAUUUGUAUUUAUCCCCAUUACCUUCCUUUCAAGUCCCUUUGUUUCUUUCUCUCUUUCCAUUAGCUCCACCCCUUUCU